AUCGCUUCUCGGCCUUUUGGCUAAGAUCAAGUAUAGUAUCUGUUCUUAUCAGUGUUCGUUUCUGUGUUGAAUUUGGCAGCACUGAUGUGGUACUGGUGGGGAGGGGUGCUGCAUGGAGGGAACAGGUUUUCCGGGGCUGGUUCUGAGUAAUAGCUUGACGGCUGCCCUGAUGUGACCUGUUUCCUCCCGGUCUCG